rnacentral:rRNA from 1 species
UAGUAACUGCGAGUGAAGCGGGAAGAGCUCAAAUUUAAAAUCUGGCGGUUCUGCCGUCCGAGUUGUAAUCUGGAGAAGCGUUUUCUGUGCUGGACCGUGCAUAAGUGUCUUGGAAUAGGACGUCAUAGAGGGUGAGAAUCCCGUCUUUGGUACGGACUACCAGUGCUCUGUGAUACGCUCUCAAAGAGUCGAGUUGUUUGGGAAUGCAGCUCAAAAUGGGUGGUAAAUUCCAUCUAAAGCUAAAUAUAGGCGAGAGACCGAUAGCGAACAAGUACCGUGAGGGAAAGAUGAAAAGCACUUUGGAAAGAGAGUUAAACAGUACGUGAAAUUGUUGAAAGGGAAACGCUUGAAGUCAGUCGCGUUGUCCAGGACUCAACCUUAGUUCUCUUUGGUGUAUUUCCUGGUUAACGGGUCAACAUCAAUUUUGAUCGGUGGACAAAGGCAGUGGGAAUGUGGCACCCUCGGGUGUGUUAUAGCCCAUUGUUGUAUACACUGGUUGGGAUUGAGGAUAUCACGCCCUCGGCGGUAGGAUGUUGGCAUAAUGGCUUUAAGCGACCCGUCUUGAAACACGGACCAAGGAGUCUAACAUGCCUGCGAGUGUUAGGGUGGCAAACCCUUGCGCGUAAUGAAAGUGAAAGUUGGGACCUCUCUGAGGGCACCGACGCCCGGCCCUGAACUCUUGUGACGGUGCUGCGGUAGAGCAUGUAUGUUGGGACCCGAAAGAUGGUGAACUAUGCCUGAAUAGGGCGAAGCCAGAGGAAACUCUGGUGGAGGCUCGUAGCGAUUCUGACGUGCAAAUCGAUCGUCAAAUUUGGGUAUAGGGGCGAAAGACUAAUCGAACCAUCUAGUAGCUGGUUCCUGCCGAAGUUUCCCUCAGGAUAGCAGAAACUCGUAUCAGAUUUAUGUGGUAAAGCGAAUGAUUAGAGGCCUUGGGGUUGAAACAACCUUAACCUAUUCUCAAACUUUAAAUAUGUAAGAACAAGCCGUCUCUUAGUUGGACCGCUUGUCGAUUGAGAGUUUCUAGUGGGCCAUUUUUGGUAAGCAGAACUGGCGAUGCGGGAUGAACCGAACGUGAGGUUAAGGUGCCGGAAUACACGC